UUUGUCAUUUCAUUGAUCUUGUUUGCCAUCUGUGUAAUUUUUUGUCUUGUUUUUGUCUCUUGUUUUGUUUCGUGUCGUUUGUCUCAUUUUUUGUGGUUUUGUGUCUCGUUUUUGUCAUUUUGUGCCUCAUUUUUGUAAUAUGUUUUAUGUAAAUGAUAAACUGAGGCAUAAUGUUGCUGAAAAUUAACUUGUUUUUCUUAAGAAAUUUCAGGUUGUUCAUAAUGUUUUGUAAAAAAGAUAAUUCCUUAAAUGUGAAUAUUUUCAGAAUGUACUUUUUUUGCACUAAAACAAGGGGAAAAAUUGGAAAAAUCAAGGUUAUUUACAAGUUAUUAUGUUAUGAUUUUAUUGGUCCGGCCCACUUGAGAUCAAAUUGGGCUGAAUGUGGAACCUGAACUAGAAUGAGUUUGACACCCCUGGUUUAGAGUUUCUGAUCUGCUAAUGUUUUUGCCCGAUUGUGGAAUAUUAUGAAUCCUGCUGCUGUCAUAUUCAGGAUCAAGACAAACUGGAAAGUUAGAUUCAUGUUCAAAUAACUUUGCAGUCCUGAAGCCCUGAAUUUACAUCAGAGCUGUGCCUUAACCUGCCCCACAAAGGUUGCACCAGUCGCACCCACAAAUCCCAAACCAUGAAUCAUAAUCCUGUAUUUUUAUGUCGUCAGAGAAUUAGCAUGUCUGUCCCGACUGACUGCAUGAAAAGAUUGUCAUUUGAGCCCCAUCAGGAGGAUGACUCAUUCUGACAGAGCUCAUAACCCACUGAGGUCAUAAUCCAGAUGAAUAUUUGUAAUGAAAAGACGCCUAAUUAUUCAAAUAUUAGCCCGCUAUAGUGGCUGCUAAUGUCUGGAUGAGAAAAUAUGAGAAACCAGUUCAUUUCACACAACAAGGGAAGCAUCUCAUCAGCCUCCAUCAGCCCUGACAGGAAGGACACAGACCACACUGGCCUUUUGGGGUACAAUUAGUCACAGUGAGUCACAUCGACACAAACAUAAAAGAUGAAAGGCUAUUGGUCAAAAAAUUGGAAAAAAAAAAGAAGCAAUUUCCGUAUGUAAGCAGCAUGUAGAACAUGUCUGGGCGUCAUGUAUGCCUGGGGAUUUGUCGCUUCUUAAUUCCCUCCACUUCAAAGUGGCGCAGGCAGACAUGCAAUGAGGCUGGAGAGGAUGGAGGCCCGUCCAAUCUCACAUCCCUGAUGGAUUUAAGGGGGGAAAAAGCAACCAGGAGAUUAUCUGCUGAGCACUGAGAACAUUUUGUAGGGUUCCUAAUUGUCCUGGAUGUAAAGUGUAACUGUUGCUGUUGUCAAAUCCUGUUGGAAGAUGAUCUCUAGUUUUAAGACUAUCUUUCUUUGUCUUUCACAUAAAGCUGUGAUUGUGAAGCAUUUAAUCAACUGAUAUUUCACAUUCAGUCUCCACAUUGAGCCUCUGAUCAUGUAUCCUUUUGUAGUGGAAGAAGUGCACAAAUACAGCACAGUAAAAGUACUCCAUUACAGUCCUACAUGAAAAUCCUACCUUAGUAAAAGUAUAGUUAUUAGCAGUACAUGGAGUUAAAGUAGUGGGUUGAUCCAUCUGACUGAUAUAUUUUUAUCUUUAACUAUGUUGUAUUUUAAAAGCUUUGGCUGCAGCUUUCUAUCUAAACCCCCAAUUCAAGUGCAACAGUGCCUGUAUUUAUAUAUUCUUUACAUGUAUAGUUUCAUAAAACUGAAAACAAGAAGGACUCUAAUGUCUUAAACGACCCCAGCUUCUCCUAGAAUUCAGUGCUUUUGCAGAUGAUGCAGGCAAUAACCCUGUCCUCACCGUUUUUGAUGGAUUUACUGUAAUACAAAACCACGCUCCCAUCAGCCCGACCCAGACACUGUGGCAAAGUCACUAAAGCUGAUACCUGCAGUGACGGAGAGCAUCAAUACCAUAGGAUAAUGAAAACGGAAAAGAUGCUGACUGAAACCAGCUUUAAGCUUCUACAAUUCCCCGCAGUUGGAGCUGAUUAUUCCAUAAACAGUGGAGGUCAGUGAGCGGUGGGUUUUCUUUAUGUUGUAUUUGUGGAUCUCAGGGAGGAACACUGACAUCUGUGACCUCUGGUGACAGGUGCACACAUUAUAUAACCUCAAUCUGCUCCAUACAUUUUCCUGAUUGAACCCAUGUGCUCCAGAUCAGCUGACAAUUGUCUGUAUCUGCUUUCUGCAGGCUUUUGUUCCCGAAUAACAACACAAGUCAGUAUGAAUACCAGAUCAAACCGCAACAAAGAGAGAGUGAAAUCCUCACCACAUGAAAAUGCAGCUGACAAAGAAAUGCAUUUGGAUGAGGGGGAGGAAAUGCUGACGAGAAUGUCGGAGAGAGUGUUGGAUAUAAGAUCCUGUAUUGAUCAUACUCUGCAGUAAACCAGACGGUGGAAAGUACAUUUAUGCAACAAUUCAGGGUUAACGACAGCUUUCAUGUGUGGUGGUAUGAUGGACUUUCAUCGCUAAUCUCAACUUGUUUUGAAAGGGGUAACAGAAUACAGUUUUAUAUAAGUUGUGUGGAUUUGAAGCAUAUUUUACUAUCACAAUGAUAAUAAUAUCACAAACUCCAGCUGCAGUUUACAAAAACCUGGGAGUGUCUUACUUCUAUGUUGUGUUUUAACCCUUGUUAAAUAUGAUAGUUUAUCUAAUUGUGUUUAAAUUAAGACUCAUGACAUUUUCACCACGAUUUACUGACAAUGACAGCAGCUAGACAACGAGCCUUAACCUCAUACAACCUAAAUUUCAUUCUCCUGCAGACACUUUUUGCAAGAAUUUAUUUAUUUACAGCUUUGAAAAUCAUCUUUGCUCUCUGGCAAACCAUGCAAUCAAAAGACAUUUUAGUGUUGGAGGCUGUAAAGUGCUAGAAGUAAUCACCAUGGUUACCGAACAAUUACACAUUUAAAACAAAACAGCUUCACAAGCAAUUACAAACACAUUGUGGAUGUUUAUGAUUUGUAGCUUUCUAAUUGCAGCACUGUCCAUGAAUACAUCAGUAACACAAUGAAUUUCAGAUCUUGACCUCACUGCAAACUGUUAUACUUCACUACAGUGAAUACUGAUGAAUGUCCAUACAAUAAAAUACAAGUAAUAACCGAUUUAGUUGUGACUGGGAGUAGAAAAAUAGUCCUCUUUAUGUUUAAACUGCAUUAAUUACACUCUACAACAGUCCACAGGUUCUGCAGCAAACUUAAAAUGGUACUUCUCUCUAAAUAAAGCACUCAAAUGGAUUUUCUACAAACCUGAGAGAAAACAAUCAUUUCCCUUAUACAAAUGACGAUUCAUGAAAGUUACGUGUGAUUUAACAGAGCUGAGAUGUGAGUUUAAUUUCUGGAAGCAGAGUCCUGUUGAUCGGGAGCAGCAGUUAGAAGAUGGAUCUAUUUAUCCACGGUGAAAGACUGCAGCCCUGUGAUGGCUCUGCCCAGGAUCAGAGCGUGGAUAUCAUGAGUACCUGCAGCAGAAGGUAAACAACGUCAAACACAAUGAACCAAUAAAAAUCUAGUGAAGGUACAGUUUAGAUGGCUGUUAGUCAUGAAGCUAUUUAGCUGCGUCAGUCUAUAACUGAGGGACUUUUGAAGUCCAAGGGAUAUAUCUUGCAAACAUUUUUAUUAAAGUAAAAGAACUAAUGUUUUGAUGUUCAUUACGAUCAUUUUGUCAUCUGGUCACUUUGUUUCUCUGUGGUCAUUUUGUUUCUUUUUGGUCAUUUUCAGACUGCUUUGUGGGCAUUUUAGGUCUUUUUGUGGUCAUUUUGUGCCCCUUUGUGGCCGUUUUCAGCCUGUGUGUGAUCAUGUUGUGCGCUUUUGUGGUCAUGUUAUGUCUUUUUGUAGUUGUUUUAUGUGUCUUUGUGCUCAUUUUCUCUCUUUUUUGGUCUUUUUUAGACUGCUUUGUGGGCAUUUUAGGUCUUUUUGUGGUCAUUUUGUGCCCCUUUGUGGCCAUUGUCAGUCUGUUUGUGGUAAUUUUAGGUGUUUUGUGGUCAUUUUGUGUGUCUUUGCGGUGAUUUUGCAACUUUGUGUUGUUAUUUUCAGUGUCUCAUCAUUUUGGAUCUUUAUAUGACAAUUAUGUGUCUCAUUGAGUCAUUUUGUAUUUUUCUGUGGUCAUUUUAUGUCAUUUUAAGCAGUUUUUGGUCACUUUGUGUUUCUUUAUCAGGUUGUGUCACUUCAUCUGUGUGCAUAAAUGUGAACUCUUUUCUCAAACAAGCCCAUACAGUACAGGUUUCCUUCUCCCUCCACCUCACCUUCGUACGUGUUGACAGACUCCAGGUUCAUGGCGUGGCGGAUGAUGUGGUACUCGUCUGAGAUGCCGUUCCCUCCCAGCAUGUCUCUGGCCUGUCUGGCGAUGUCCAGCGCUUUACCGCAGUUGUUCCUCUUCAGCAUGGAGAUCAUCUCUGGGGCUGCUCUGUUUAAAAAACACAGUAUUUGCGUAGCGUUAUUUUUCAGUGAUGUGAGUACAGGACUGUCUGUGGAUCUGAAUUACACCAAUCAGGGAAAGUGGGAAACUCUGGCAUUCAUUUUGAUUGUCACUUUGGCACACAUCACCUACCUAAACAAUGCUGCUACACAUAAAAUAACUAAUAGUGUCACCAAAAACUCCUUUCUAAAACAUUAUGGCACUACUUUUGUGAGUUUCAGCCCAAUUCCACGACUCAAACUCCAUUUCAUAAUCUUUCUCAGCUUCUUGAGAAACACUGAGGGAAUGUUUUGUCUUGUCAACCUGACCAGAAGAAGUCUGAAGUAUGGAGCACUCAGGACACAGUCACAUCUCAUCCAACACUUCACUGAGAAGAUAGAGUUCCUUUACUUUUUCUCAUCGAUAAGUCUGCCCAGCCGCAGACAGGACUGCAGGCCGAUGGUGAUGUCUGUCAACAUGUCUGCCAUUUUCUUCUGCAUCAGCUGAUUCCUCGCCAGCGGCACGCCGAACUGGAUUCUGGUUUGGGAAAACAACAGCAUUGUUUACUCCUUUUGUUAAUAAAUAAACAUACCGCUGUAACAAAACUAAAUUCAGGACAUCAGUAUAACCUGUACAAAAAUGACCAGUAAUGAUCCCCAGUCACUUCUCCCGUGUUCCAUCUGACCUGUCUAGUGUGUACUGACGCGCUGCAUGGAAACAGAACUCUGCAGCACCAAGGGAACCCCAUGCGAUGCCAUAUCGAGCGUUGUUCAAGCAGCCAAAAGGACCCUGGACACGACAAAAGAGAAGAACAUCAUAAAUGUUGGUACUCCAGCUGCACUAUGUCAGACAGAAAAGCCCUGCAGAGGACAGUCAGUGGAGCUGAGAAGGUUUCAGUUUCCCUCCCCUCUGUUCAAACUGUUUGAAUUGCUACCAUCAGGCAAACGUUUCAGGAGCAUCGGAGGAAAAACAACCAGACUGACUGAUUUGAUCUGAUAAAUCUAAGAGGCACAGUGGCUUGGUGGUUACUACUUUCGCCUUGCAGCUAGAAACGGUGUGAAUCCCUGGUCCACAUCCCGGCCUGGGAUUUUUCUGCAUGGAGUUUGCAUGUUCUCUCUGUGCAUGUAUGAGUUUUCUCUGGGUUCUCCAGUUUCCUCCCACAGUCCAAAAACAUGCUGAGGUUAACUGGUGACUCUAAACAGUCUGCCUGAGUGUGACUGUUUGUCUCUAUAUGUAGUCCUGUGAUAGACUUGUGACCUGUCCAGGUGUCCCCUGCCUUCACCCUCAGUCAGCUGGGAUAGACUCCAGCCCCCCUACGACCCUAAUGAGGGUUAAGCGGUGUAUAGAUAAUGGAUGGAUGGAUUAUAAAUGUAAUAGGACAAAGAUGUUCAAUGACUAAGAAUUUUCUCUACAUGUGUAAACGUGCAUCAACAAUGUUUAUCUUUUCACUCUACCCACCCCGAG